rnacentral:rRNA from 1 species
AAGCAGAGGGGGCUUAGUGGUGGGGUGACUGCGUACCUUUUGUAUAAUGGGUCAGCGACUUAUAUUCUGUAGCAAGGUUAACCGAAUAGGGGAGCCGGAGGGAAACCGAGUCUUAACCGGGCGUUAAGUUGCAGGGUAUAGACCCGAAACCCGGUGAUCUAGCCAUGGGCAGGUUGAAGGUUGGGUAACACUAACUGGAGGACCGAACCGACUAAUGUUGAAAAAUUAGCGGAUGACCUGUGGCUGGGGGUGAAAGGCCAAUCAAACCGGGAGAUAGCUGGUUCUCCCCGAAAGCUAUUUAGGUAGCGCCUCGUGAAUUCAUCUCCGGGGGUAGAGCACUGUUUCGGCUAGGGGGCCAUCCCGGCUUACCAACCCGAUGCAAACUGCGAAUACCGGAGAAUGUUAUCACGGGAGACACACGGCGGGUGCUAACGUCCGUCGUGAAGAGGGAAACAACCCAGACCGCCAGCUAAGGUCCCAAAGUCAUGGUUAAGUGGGAAACGAUGUGGGAAGGCCCAGACAGCCAGGAUGUUGGCUUAGAAGCAGCCAUCAUUUAAAGAAAGCGUAAUAGCUCACUGGUCGAGUCGGCCUGCGCGGAAGAUGUAACGGGGCUAAACCAUGCACCGAAGCUGCGGCAGCGAACGUAUCACUUAAAGCGAUUCAGCGGGUUACGAUUGACGGAGCGAAGCGACGUCAAAGCGUAUACAA